rnacentral:misc_RNA from 1 species
UCCCCAAUUUGCCGUGAAGAUUUGAUCUGUCUACCUCAAAAAAUUGCAGUUAGUUUGGGGAAUCUUGGUCCCCUUGUAAUCUGCACAAAAGUGACAAACAUCAUAGCUCUAUUGGAUCCUUUUACUCUUAGGCAAUGCUACUUGGAUUCUGAUCAAUAUUGGAGGGCAUCCUUUGAGUCUUUACUCACUAGCCGGCAGCUUGUGGAGUAUAUCGUAUUAGAUGUUGAAAUUAUUUCUCCUGAAGUUAAUAAUGGGGGCUCAAGGUAUGCAUUAGCUGAAGCCCAGGUUGCCCGUCUGGCUGACUUUGGGAAGAAUGAUACUAUUUUCUUUAUAAAAACACAUCUAGGCCAUAUUUUGAAACCUGGUGAUCAAGCCCUUGGUUAUGACCUCUAUGGCGCUAACAGCAAUGAUAUUGAACUGGACAAGUACAAAGGUCUGGUCCUCCCUGAAACAAUUUUGAUAAAGAAGAGCUAUGAGGAGAAUCGCCAGAGAAAACUUGGGAAACCUCGUGCCUGGAAGCUCAAGUCCCUGAACAUGGAAGCUGAUGACUCAGGAGGUAGACACGACCAGGAAAAGACGAACACGGAAUAUGAAGAGUUCUUGAG